GAUGAACGCUGGCGGCGUGCCUAAUACAUGCAAGUCGAGCGAACAGACGAGGAGCUUGCUCCUCUGACGUUAGCGGCGGACGGGUGAGUAACACGUGGAUAACCUACCUAUAAGACUGGGAUAACUUCGGGAAACCGGAGCUAAUACCGGAUAAUAUAUUGAACCGCAUGAUUCAAUAGUGAAAGACGGUUUUGCUGUCACUUAUAGAUGGAUCCGCGCCGCAUUAGCUAGUUGGUAAGGUAACGGCUUACCAAGGCAACGAUGCGUAGCCGACCUGAGAGGGGUAUCGGCCAAACUGGAACUGAGACACGGUCCAGACUCCUACGGGAGGCAGCAGUAGGGAAUCUUCCGCAAUGGGCGAAAGCCUGACGGAGCAACGCCGCGGGAGUGAUGAAGGUCUGCGGAUCGUAAAACUCUGUUAUUAGGGAAGAACAAAUGUGUAAGUAACUAUGCACGUCUUGACGGUACCUAAUCAGAAAGCCACGGCUAACUACGU
rnacentral:rRNA from 1 species